CUUUGGCGACGGCGCAGUCGCUUCUGCAGGCGGUAACGCUCCACAGCUGCCCGCGUUUACGUUCGCUUCUUGUGUUCCAGCAUUGCCAGACUCUGUGCUACGUACAUCUCAACUUCAAGCCCGCAUCUCGGUGGAACACCCGACACGCGGCUGCAAAAGAGUUAUCGAGCAACCGUCGCGCAACGAGUUUUCGUUGCCGUGACUUUUAUUGAAGGCCACUGACGGUAACUGUGCAGUAAACCAUGGUGUUUGUGCUGAAGUUCAGAGGGGACAGACAUGUGGAUAUAUAAGAUUUCUACUAAGAACAUUGUGAUGUGGUAUGUUUUUCUGCUGAUCAAAUAUAACAAGCAAGAGAAGAAGUGUUCGGUGACAUUGUGGGGACUAUAAUUCAGUACCACCUACACAGCAGAUUUCCACGUUACUCAACACGGUGCAGCAGCUACUGGCCAAUGCUGUGCACCCGAUAGAACAAGCACUACCUACUACAGCUGCUAUACCAUCUUUUCGACAGUUUCGUGACCAAGAAGAGGAAUGGCUCGAGUGAUUGUCACAGUCUGAGGCGCACAUCCUAUCUCACAACGUACCAGUCAAAUGGCGAAGCGGAACGUUUUGUCAGAACGUUCAAACAGCAGAUGACCAAACUUCGCUCUGCACACACCAGGGGUCAAGCACUGCAACUGUUUCUCUCCUCAUAUCGCUCGCACCCACGAGAUGGACCAUCGCCGGUGAAAUUGCUUCACAGCCGCCGCCAUCGGACACUGCUCCACCCUCCUCACCAUCCGGCGCCGAAGCAAGGCUAUUCACGGAUCCAGAGGACAGCGCGGCCGCAGCAGCCGCCGAGGGUGUCACCACGACACCGCAGGACGACACCAUGGAGCCUCUGUCUCCUCCGCCUCCUCUCGUCCUACCGAUGAAGCUCGAUCCCCACACAGUGCAGCAGUCGCUGCCUUCUUCAUCUGGUUCAUGGUAUCAGAAGAUGGACUCAUACCCUUCUGGUCUUUUUCUGGGAGACGUUUCCGCCAGAGCGCCGGCCGGAUAGCGGGGUACGACCGGAAGCUUGACGUCCCCUGCAGCCACAGCUUCCGGUCCUGCGAGGCGCCCACUCACCCGCCUCCCCCGCCGUGGUCGCACUCCCUACACGACGACGGUCCGUCGCUUUUGGGGGGGGGGGGGGCAGGAGGAGGAAUGUUCAAGCGUAUCGACAACCGCUCGCAUUAAGAUGAAGAAAGCAAGAACAGAGAAGGCAGUGAGACGGCAGCUAAUAGCCCGCUGACUGGGACCGCACCACGACAGGAGCGCCCUCUAGGCGAAGAGAAUAUAAGUUCCGCUCCUGCCGGCCUCGGCCACACAGUGCCAGGCAGCGACUCGCAGACCAGCACAGUAGGAGAGCACUACGACAGCAGUGACGUGUGAUCCAUAUCAAUUGCUUACGUGGACCUUGUAUAAAGCAAAGGACUCUGACUUGUUUUCGUGUCACCUAUCACUUUCGACUCUGCUGUAAAUUCAAAGUUAGGUA